ensembl:lncRNA
GUGUCAUUAGCUUGUUUCCGGUGCACAAUUCAUAUAAACGGUUUACUGAGGUUAGUUUAGUUCCUGCUUUUAGAUAGUAACUAUUUGUUAGCCCAACGACCUUUGUCCGGUAGAGCAGCAGUCCCAGACAGGAUCUGGUAACUGAUCAGAGUUCUGCUGUGUUCCUCUUGACUUCCACUUCUGUGCCCCGCUGGCCAUAUUUUCUUCAUCUCCAAAGAUGGUCUCUUCCUAGUAUGUCCCUCCAGUUAGCAGCUCUGAAAACUGGCCCAAUGCACUGCUUUCUCCUGAGCAACUCCAAUCAUCUAAAUGACUUCAGCAACUAAGUGGUUCUGUUCUACGUCAUCAGCUGGGACUGCUGGGACUGCUCUUCAUUUCAAACAGCAACACUCCUUCCAUGUCUGAGAGCUCAAGUUGAAGGCUGAACAGUGAUUUCUGCACUGCUCAUUUUCUUUCAGAAAGCGUGUACUGCUUCCUGUGUUUCUAUUUCUGUUUCCAAACCACCAAGAAAGGGAAAAAAAGCAGCGGAACAGAGACUCAAACACACGUGAAGUACCAAGCUGGACAACUCAGCAUGAUACUAGAAAUACCUAGAUGUGAGGUUUGGCAUUUAUGGGAUAUUAACAUUAAGUGCUUCAGAAGAUAAACAAGAGAAUUAAACAACAGAUAGCACAGCCAGCUAUGUACAUCAGGGCCACCUCUUAGGAACCGAUCCCUUCAAGAUAUUUGUGCCUAUAGAAGGAAAUGCAAAUGAAGCAAACAAGAAGAUAAUUGAAACCCUUCCUGAGUUACAGCUAUGUUUCCUGCUGGAGAGACUGACAGAUCCAGCAAAGAACAGAGGACACUGAAAAUGUGAACGAACAUGUUGCUGAGUUUGCCACGUUAUUCCCUUCAUAUUUUUUACAUAUACAACAUUUUCCUGGUUGGGACUACAGGUACAAAAUCUUAAAAGGCAAAUCACAAGAGAUACUUGAAAACCAGAAAAGAGCAGAAAUAUUUUUAUGUAUCUGUAGUUAAUGAACAUGCCAAACCCAUCGCUCUACCAAACAGCAUGCCAGCCUGGCUGCUGAGGGACAUGAGAAAUGCAGAUCCCACGGUCAUUCACCACCUGGUUUCUCUGCCAAGAGUUUCUAUGGCCACCUGUCAGUUGUGGAGGGGAUCUUGUCUGUUCUAGAAACAGCUGCCCAGGAUGCACAGUGCUGAGAUCCUUUACAGUAGAACAUUCAUCUUCUACUAUAUCUGCAAUAAGCCUUAUCCCAUGGAUGACUUUGGUAUAACAUGAAGCCCACCUGCAACACACAGUAACUACUGAAAGCUAGUAUAGUUGUAGGGCAUAAUGCAGUUUUUGCCUGACACAAUGGGAGUAAACAGACACUCAGGGUUGGUGCUGACAGCAACUAGAGAUAGCUGGAGAAUUUUUCUUCCUUCACUGGAAAUGGAAAUGUAUCAAUUUCUCCCAGAAAAAAAAAAUCAGCUGAAAUAAAAAUUUUAUCAGAGGAAAGUUUCCAUUGUAUGGCCUUGCAUGUUUGAAUGCAUCUCUUGCAUGAUCUGACAUCUAAAUUUCUCAAAGGAUUUGAUGUGGGAACCUCAGAUACAAUCUUGGGUUUUAUCAAGCCUGAAAAACCUACAUUGGACAUUUCAGAUUAGAGUUAUCUAUCAAAUUCAUAACCAGGAUAUUCUAACUACAAGUAAACUACAGAUUUCCCAAAGAUUACAAGAGACAAGGAAAAAAAAUCACACUGUAUUUUUACAUGAUGGUAGAAGUGCACUGAAGUACUGUUUCCCACUUUCAUAUUGAAAAGGAAAGGUCAUUUUAGCAUCAAAUUACUUCUGUCUUACACUUGAGUUACAUUUAAAUAUACAUUUCAUAAAUGAAGUAUCAUUGCUCAAGUCUUUAAGCUGUAUUGAGUUCACGGCACAAAAAGCCCAGACCUUAUGGUGUCUGUUUUAUCAUACAGAAGUCUACAUAAAAGAAAAUUAGGAAAAAAAAAGAACGUUGUGAAAUUACUCGAAUUAUUACUUUUUUAAUAAUAAAGUUUGCUCUCUAAUAUGAACCAGGAAGUGAAGAGUUGUAGCUCUCACAGUCUCAGACUAAACAUCGGGUCGUGGCUCUUUUUGGCUUCUGUUUAAAAAGGCUAAUUGAUUUGGAAGAGAAAGAC